AUGAACGCUUGGCAAUCACAUGCUGAUGAUUACUCCCUCGUUCAGUGCGGCAUGCUUUACAGCUUAGAACCGGGUCUCCAAAAGCGUUUUGAGAAACAUGGAGCAUACGAAAUGUUCGAAGAGCUGAAAAUGGUUUUCCAAGCUCAUGCCCGGGUCGAGAGAUAUGAAGUCUCCGAAAAGUUCUUCAGUUGUAAAAUGGAGGAAAAUAGUUCUGUUAGUGAGCACAUACUCAGAAUGUCUGGGUUAGUCAACCGCUUGUCUCAGCUGGGAGUUAAUCUCCCGGAUGACGCGGUCAUUGACAGAAUCCUUCAGUCACUUCCACAGAGCUACAAGAGCUUCGUGAUGAACUUCAAUAUGCAGGGGAUGGAAAAGACCAUUCCUGAGGUAUAUUCGAUGCUGAAAUCAGGGGAGGUGGAGAUCAGAAAGGAACAUCAAGUGUUGAUGGUGAAUAAAACCACUAAGUUCAAGAAAGGCAAGGGCAAGAAGAACUUCAAGAAGGACGGCAAGGGAGUGGCCGCGCCCGGUAAGCCAGUUACUGGGAAGAAGUCAAGGAAUGGACCCAAGCCUGAGACUGAGUGCUUUUAUUGCAAGGGAAGUGGUCACUGUAAGCGGAACUGCCCCAAAUACUUAGCGGACAAGAAGGCCGGCAACAUCAAAGGUAUAUGUGAUAUACAUAUAAUUGAUGUGUACCUUACCAGUACUCGUAGUAGCUCCUGGGUAUUUGAUACCGGUGCGGUUGCUCAUAUUUGUAACUCAAAACAGAAACUGCGGAAUAAGCGGAGACUGGCAAAGGACGAGGUGACGAUGCGCGUCGGAAAUGGUUCCAAGGUCGAUGUGAUCGCCGUCGGCAUGCUACCUCUGCAUUUACCUACGGGAUUAGUUUUAAACCUCAAUAAUUGUUAUUUAGUGCCAGCUUUGAGCAUGAACAUUGUAUCUGGAUCU
rnacentral:rRNA from 1 species